rnacentral:rRNA from 1 species
GCAGUCGAGCGACAGAUGAGAAGCUUGCUUCUCUGAUGUUAGCGGCGGACGGGUGAGUAACACGUGGGUAACCUACCUAUAAGACUGGGAUAACUCCGGGAAACCGGGGCUAAUACCGGAUAAUAUUUUGAACCGCAUGGUUCAAUAGUGAAAGACGGUUUCGGCUGUCACUUAUAGAUGGACCCGCGCCGUAUUAGCUAGUUGGUAAGGUAACGGCUUACCAAGGCGACGAUACGUAGCCGACCUGAGAGGGUGAUCGGCCACAU